rnacentral:sRNA from 1 species
AAACUAUACGAUACACCCGCCUGCAGAACAACCCCCACACCCGGAAAUAAUACAGUACUCCGAUACCCAAUACCCAAUAAAUACCCAUGGAUCAGCUUUUGACCGUUCCAUAAUAACAACCCUCACUCUCAACUCUACCUUUUUGCCUAACUUCGUUUCCAGCCAACCAGCCGCAGCCCGAUCCCAAGAAUCCCUCGCCGCCUUUAGCCCUUAGCUUGCUUAUCCUCAAUUGCUAACCUUGCCUUGCCAUCUGCUCCCACCACCCAUAUCCUAACCGCCGCGUUAUAACUGGCCUGCCCAGGAAGGCGGUGGAGGGCCUCUGCCGCCGUUCCACAGAGGAUCCUCGCCCAAGGAAAAAUGAAAAUAGGGAGCCCAACUGCAGCCGGGGGGCGCGUAGACGGUAGCAUUCUUUGACUUUACCCAGCCGAGAUGGAACUAGAACGGGCUGGCAGCUGGAGCUUGGUGUCUCCUUCGUGGACUGGCGAGCGGGGUCAGUGAACCCCGAUGGCAACCAAUCGGGGAUCGGGCAC